rnacentral:rRNA from 1 species
CAGUAGCCGCGGUAAUACGAAAGGUCCAAGCGUUACUCGGAAUUACUGGGCGUAAAGCGCGCGUAGGCGGUUUUGUAUGUCGAUUGUGAAAGCCCCGGGCUCAACCUGGGAACUGCAGUCGAAACUGCAAGACUUGAAUGUUGGAGAGGUUGGGGGAAUACCUAGUGGAGAAGUGAAAUUCGUAGAGAUUAGGUGGAACACCAGAGGCGAAGGCGCCUGACUGGCCAAACAUUGACGCUAAGGCGCGAAAGCGUGGGUAGCAAACAGGAUUAGAUACCCGGGUAGUCCCUGUCUCUUAUAC